rnacentral:snRNA from 1 species
GGAUGUGAGGGUGAUCUGGCUGUGACAUCUGUCACCCCAUUGAUCACCAGGGUUGAUUCGGCUGAUCUGGCUGGCUAAGCAAGUGUCCCCUUCCUCCCUCACCGCUCCAUGUGCGUCCCUCCUAAAGCUGCGCGCUCGGUAGAAGAGGACGGCCUUCCCCAAAUAGAGACGGACCGGUCUUCGGUCGAGGGUAUAGGAGUAGCUGUCCUCCCCUGCUAGAACCUCCAAACAAGCUCUCAAGGUCCAUAGUUGAUAUUGGCAUAGGUUAGUCACUGUCACUGUCAUCCCAUUGCUCAUCGAUUUGUUCGAGUGGG